GAUUCCCCUAGUAACUGCGAGUGAAGCGGGAAAAGCUCAAAUUUAAAAUCUGGCAGUCUCUGGCUGUCCGAGUUGUAAACUAGAGAAGUGCUAUCCGUGCUGGACCAUGUACAAGUCUCCUGGAACGGAGCGUCACAGAGGGUGAGAAUCCCGUCUUUGACAUGGACUACCAGUGCAUUGUGAUGCGCUCUCAAAGAGUCGAGUUGUUUGGGAAUGCAGCUCAAAAUGGGUGGUAAACUCCAUCUAAAGCUAAAUAUUGGCGAGAGACCGAUAGCGAACAAGUACCGUGAGGGAAAGAUGAAAAGAACUUUGGAAAGAGAGUUAAACAGUACGUGAAAUUGUUGAAAGGGAAACGCUUGAAGUCAGUCGCAUUGGCCGGAGAUCAAUCUUGCUCUCGCGAGGUGUACUCUCUGGUCAAUGGGUCAGCAUCAAUUUUGACCGAUGGAAAAAGGUCAGGGGAAUGUGGCAUCUUCGGAUGUGUUAUAGCCUCUGGUCGUAUACACCGGUUGGGAUUGAGGAACUCAGCACGCCGCAAGGCCGGGUCUCUGACCACGUUCGUGCUUAGGAUGCUGGCAUAAUGGCUUUAAUCGACCCGUCUUGAAACACGGACCAAGGAGUCUAACAUGCCUGCGAGUGUUUGGGUGGAAAACCCAUGCGCGUAAUGAAAGUGAAAGUUGAGAUCUCUGUCGUGGAGAGCAUCGACGCCCGGACCAGACCUUUUGUGACGGAUCCGCGGUAGAGCAUGUAUGUUGGGACCCGAAAGAUGGUGAACUAUGCCUGAAUAGGGCGAAGCCAGAGGAAACUCUGGUGGAGGCUCGUAGCGAUUCUGACGUGCAAAUCGAUCGUCG
rnacentral:rRNA from 1 species